UCGGAACGUGCCCGGUCGUGGGGGAUAACGUAGCGAAAGCUACGCUAAUACCGCAUACGAUCUACGGAUGAAAGCGGGGGAUCGCAAGACCUCGCGCGAUUGGAGCGGCCGAUAUCAGAUUAGGUAGUUGGUGAGGUAAAGGCUCACCAAGCCGACGAUCUGUAGCUGGUCUGAGAGGACGACCAGCCACACUGGGACUGAGACACGGCCCAGACUCCUACGGGAGGCAGCAGUGGGGAAUUUUGGACAAUGGGCGCAAGCCUGAUCCAGCCAUGCCGCGUGCAGGAUGACGGUCCUAUGGAUUGUAAACUGCUUUAUACAGGAAGAAACACUCCGACGUGUCGGAGCUUGACGGUACUGUAAGAAUAAGGAUCGGCUAACUCCGUG
rnacentral:rRNA from 1 species